rnacentral:hammerhead_ribozyme from 1 species
AUCCAGCUGACGAGUCCCAGAUAGGACGAAGGUCACGCCCUGGAU